CAUCUCACCACCAACAACCCGCGCUGCUUGAGUCACGCUCGCGCAGACGGUGGCAGCUCGGAACAAGUUCAACUUCUUAAAGUUUCUCGAUCGGACGCCCACGGUCGUGUUGUGAGGCAUCGAUCGAGCUCCAGCAUGAAGCUCCUGUGGCGGAUCAUCUCCUUAGCGCUCUUCUUGCAGCUUGUCAGUGCUACAGACCUUCAGUGCACCGUCACCCGGGACGCAGACAGAACCCAUUACAGUGUCCCACAGUUCACUGGAGAAGCCUGUGACUUCCGCUGGUGGAACCAGACGGUGAACCAAGUCGCUACCUGCACCUUCAACUGCAGCGUAAACUCCGAGGAUCCACAGAAAGAAGGUGCUAAACUUUCCAUUCCAUUCCAACUCUGAUUAAACAGAACAAUAGAAACAACUUAAGAACCCAAAUUAUAAAGUCAAAGCAGUGAAACCGCGGCUCCACAUUAAGAAGUGAAUUAAAAGAGAUGUCAGAUUGGGAUCCGGAGGGUUGAACUUUCUGUUCUAUUGGCAGAGUCUCACACAAUGGAUGGUGGUCUCAUUGCUGCCGUGCUGGUUUCGGUUCUGGUUCUGGUCCUGGUUCUGGUUCUGGUUCUUGUGUGCUACACGGUCAAAGCUGACAGGUAACAACACGUUAAAUCUGAUUCCGUUAUGUUCCUUGCUUCGUACUUAACCGAUGAGAGAAAACGAAUAUGUUGAAUGAAGUAUUUAAAGUGCGUAUAUGUUUUUAAUAACAUUCCCUUCUCUUCAUCUGUCGUCUUCAACUGAGUGGCGGUGUUUCUCCACAUGGCCGCGUAACUUUUAAGACACUGAAUAGGAAACUUCUCUCCUGUUGCUGUGGUUCUGCAGGAGAAAGAGCGGCCGCGGCUCCCCCCACACUGACAGCACCGAGGAAGUUCUUGCCAUUGUGUGAAGAUGCCAAUGCUACCAGAAAUAUUCCACUUUACUUUUAAACACUUUAUCUCCAUUUACUCUGCACAUGAAUUUUAGCUUAAUAUAUAUUUCUAUAUGACUAACUUUGCCCUAUUUUUCCAUUUAAGAACUUAUUGGGGUCCAAAUAUGGCCCUGUGGUGUUCCCUUUGUGGUCAGGGUUUUUUUCCCAAAGGAACU
ensembl:lncRNA